CCGAACACGCUGCGGCAUCAAUCGAGCCAUCCAUCAGUCAGGGUUAGGGUUUCCGCGCAUAUGAUGCUGCUAGGCUACGGGUGUUGUUUGCAAUGGCCUUUUCAUGUUAGCAUGAAGCUAAGGGACUUGAGUUCUCUUUUGUUUUCCGUGUCAGCUUUACAGUAAACGUUUAGUGACCGUGACAAAUGAACAUCUCCGCAUCUUAUUUGGUGCCGGGGAGAAUGUCCCCUUUUCGUUUCCUCAAAGUGGUUAUCCAAUAAGUCUCCGAAUUCUAGGAAGGAAUACUUUCAUUAAAGGUGGUUUACGUGUAAAGGUGGUUCAAGUAGUUUGGGGGGAAAACUUGUCAUGAUGUGUGUUGGUGGACUUUUGCAUUCUUUUUAAAAUAUUUCAUGUUCUGUCUUGUUUGCCUAUACAUGCUACCUGUUCUGGUGUCAACCAAUCGUCUCGGUCCAUGUCUUGUCUAGCUGUGACUCAUUGUCUCGUCACUUGUUUUCUAUUUAGUUCCCAGCCUUCCUUGGGUCGUCUGAAUUUGGCAUGAUUUGUGUUCGAUAUAAGGCUGGGUUUAAAAACAAACCAAUCAAUCAAAUUGAUUUUCCUUACGUAUGGUUGGAAAACCCCUGUUGCAUAUAUCUCCGGAGUCAACGCGGACAACCAAGUACAUGUGUAUCGAUGUGAGAUGUUCUCCACUCAUGCUGAGCUCUGGUAUGAGGUACUUGAGGGGCGGCUUCGGCGUACGCAACAAGUCCAGACUGCAAAAGUCCUGAAAAGAUGGUCAAAGAUUGGCGCCGUUGCAACUCGCCUGACGAUUCAGUCGCAGCCAAAAAGAAGGUGAGACGCUCAACACGCUCCUGAGGGAGGGACCUCCAUGUGUGUGUGUGUGUGAGAGAGAGAGAGAGAGAGAGAGAGGAGAGAGAGAAAGAGCAAGUACAUGUAGCGAUGUUGUGGAAACAAGCAUGUUUCUCCCAAAACAAACAAGUCAUUAGUCAUCAAUUACAGAAAGUGUGUGUUUGUGCUUGUGCUUGUGCCAAUCUGAAAACAUUGCGUUACAAUGUUGCGUUCUCUUCACAAAACUUCUUGAAACAUGCCAAUCACACACCUGAGAACUGAGACCACCGCCCAGAGAAUUCCCAUUAGUACACUCUUAUAAACAUAGUUAUUAAUCUGCACUCUAAAACUCAAAGUUGUGAAACGUAUGAUACGCGUUGUGGCGUAGUCUAAAGUUAGAUCAAAAUUUUUAUAUUUCAUAUCUAAGCAUGAGUCCAAAAUGAUCAAAUUGACUCGUACAGAAGCUGAGAUCAACCGGAGUCAAAUUUUCUGUUUGGCAUGCACAAACUUGGCCAAUAAAGCUGAUUCUGAUUCUAAUAUAGACGUCUAUUUUAGGUUUAGACCUAAUAUAGACGUCUAUGUCAGGUUACAGAAAUAACCACACUUCACAUGUACGUAUCAAUGGGUGUGAAAAACAACGCCCCACUAGGUGGCAGCAAUGCGCUUAAUUUUCCCUUCGGGCUGAAAAAUGAAGAAGCAGCAGAGGUGCGUUGCGAGUUUGUUUGGCCCAAUUUGACGCCCGGUACUUGAUAAUCCGGAUUUAUUUCUCAAAGACAGAUACCAAGAAUGAUGCAUAUAGCUGUUGCAGCAUCUCCACAAAUGAUCUAAUGACCAAGUUCAACAUGCAACAAUGUAGAAAGAGCGCCUUGGAGAAGACUGCCUUCUACUCUCUCCUGUCAUCGCUGGUGAAUUAAAAGAACAAAAAUAUCUUCUCCUUUGUCUAGAGUCUACUUGGUGAUCUCUGUAAAACUGAUGUAAAAACAAUGUCAAACAAUGAUAUAAUUGCCAAUGUCUGACAUAUUUUCAGUUUUUGUAAAGGUCUUUGUGACGGUGAAAUGUAUUGUGUUUGUCACAAUGAGCAACCGCACUUUAUUAUAUUUCAUAUUUAAUAGAAGUCUAUAAGACAAAUAAUGGAGUAGGGUUUGGAUUUGGUAUGAAUGUAAAAUUAUUAUUAUUAUUAUUAAAAGUCCAGCAAACGUAGAGACUGCUAAAAAAAAAAAAUUCAAAUUUGCACCCUCCGGCAUAAAAUGAGUCGUCUGGCCCGCAGUAGGAAAUAAAACAUAAGAGGGAGAAAUUGAGCGAACUUGAAGAACACGCGUGAUGGGCUCCAAGCUUCUUCCGCACCAAAGUUGGAGACCGAAAAGGUAAGUGAGUGUCCAGCAUUGGAAAGUGUUCCUUCAACAUCUGCUGUGUGGUGCGCAUGCGCAAUCGCCCCUGAAAGGAUCUUUGACUUGCACUGUGCGUUCUCUUUUAACUUUUUGUAGUUGAUUUUGAAAAGCUUCUUAACCAUGUCAUUUGUGGAUGGAAGUGGUUCUAUAACAAGGGUGGGCAAUUCUGGUCAUGGAGGUCCUGCUGCAACACACCUCAUUCAAAUGAUCUGGAUUGUUAUCCAGCUUCUGCAGAACUUCUGACCAUUUGAAUCAGAUGUGUUGCAACAGGGUGACAGAAAACAUGCAGGACACCGGCCCCCCAGGACCGGAUUUGCUCACCCCUGCUCUAUAAAGACUCGAUCAGUCUUGCCUGCUGCCUCACGAGUCCCAACGAGCUGCAGCUGCGAGCGUCGCCGAUUCCACAGCAUGCUGGAGAUGGAGGCCUGUCUGUCCCGCCGAGACUCUCCUCGAUUGGCUCGUGUGCUUCGUGACGAAGGCGUGAGCCCGAGCACACUCACCCAAUUAAACCUGCUCGUUUGCAAGAGGCUAAGCUCAGCUGACUUUGGCCAGGUGGGUGUGGUCUUGAAGUCUUUGGAGAUUCUGGUGGACAACAGGGAUCUCCACGAAACCCUGGUCGGUCUCGGGAUCACACACCAAGUGCUGUCUUGGUUCCAAACAUUGCGGAAACUCUUGGCCACGUCUGGCUCCCCGAAAGGCUCGGCUCAAACGUCGCUGGUCGAGCGCUUCUACGACUUCCUGCUGCUGCUGAGCCGCUCGUGUCUUCCAGGCUUGGAACGAUCUUUGACCCUUAUGGAACUUCUCCACACGCUGCUGGAAUCGAAACUUCUCUUCAAUGUCAGACUGGAGGCGGCGAGAACUUUCAACAGCAUCCUGGAUUCUUUGGGCCGGGAUGAGAGGAAGCACGUCCAGUCGGAGCGAAUGCUACUGCAGAUGAUGCCGACGGUGGCGGCGACCAUUCGGACAAUCGGAGACUACGAGUUGCAGGUGAGCCUAUCGGAGGCUUUGUGCCGUAUGAUUCCCAGGGAGGAGCGAGUCCAGCGGGCCAACGAGUGGUUCUCCUGCUCGGACAUCGCCGGCGCGUUCUGUCUCAUCACCUCUGCGGACUUUGAGACGGAUUGUCGGCGGUUCCUCAACUUCGUUAACCGCGGCCAAGGCAAUUAUAGAAGGGUUUGGACCUUCCCGUGCAUGGGAGCCUUCCUGGAGAGCACAGAGCUCUUUGGGCCCAAAGAUGACAAGUUGGAUGAGUUCUGGGUAGACUUCAACUUUGGAUCACAGUGUGUCAGCUUUUUCGUAGACCUUCCUCAGGGCUUCCUGUGGGGUUCUUUGCAUUUGCUCAAGGAAGAGGUGGCCCGGUACCAGCUGAAGCUCCAGCAAGAUGGUGUGUUUGGAGGUGUCACAGAUGCAGGUUCCAUUCAGGAAAGGUUAACUCAGGCUGAACGGUUCCAAGUCUUUUUGUUCCCGGAAGGAGGCGAGGCUCAGGCCAUCCUCACAGUCCAUCUGAAGUCUCCGAUCACGCACCUGGACAGCAAAGGCAGUAGAGUCCAGCUGCGCUUUAAGCCCGAGCUGCUCGAAGAGCUGGAGGCGGCGGCCGCGAGUGUCUUCCCGGGAGAGGAAGGCCACAAAAAUGCGAGCGAGCAAGCCUGGGCCUCCCCCUUGCCUACAAGACCGCCGGCCCGGAGAUACAGGAAGAAGACAUGUAGCCGGACUUUGAAAGUUCUUCCACUGUCGUCCCCGAGCAGCGAUGACCAAGACUCAGUUGCCACGACUCCAAGCAGUAAAUGGGCGUCUGACCUCUUUGACCAAGUUGCGUGCUCCACGCCGUUGAAAGUCUCCGGCGAGAGCGCUCCGGAGAGCCCGCUUCAAGUGCCAGGUGGUCAUGUGGGUGCGGAGCCUCUGAUCUUCGGGGAAGAGAGCUUGGAUUUUGGAGAAGACAUCUGUCUGCAGGAAACGUCCUGUUUGAAGAGGAAGCAAAUGGAUAAAGAUUCAGGUGUCACUUCGUUGUAUUCAAAUUUGGUGGCCUCAAUUAAGAUCAGAAGGGGGAGGCCAGGCACAAAUGUUGUCCUUGCGGUGGUCUUGCGAGACGUGCAAGGUGUCAAUGCUCUGGUCAGUUUGGCUCGGCAUAUUACCAACGCCGCUUCUCGUUUGCUCGGGCGAGGUUUCCUGACUGACGAACGCGAAACCCCGAGGAAGUCCGGAAGCGCUCGGCCUAGUGAGUUCCGAGGGGCGUCGCCCGAGGAGCUGCCCCAGGAGGAGGUGGAGCCGCCUGAAACUGAAGAGCCGCCCCAGGAAGGGGAAGAGCCGUCUGUGGACAUGACUUCCGGCAUCAAAGAAGCUUUUGACAUCAUCAAAAGAAACCUCCAACAGCAUCACGAUGACUGCUGGCAGAAGGUCCAAGACCAAAGUCUCCUAUCGCUCAAAGAGCAAGAGCGGCACGUCACAUCGCUCUUUGAAGACAUCCGCCAACACAGGGCAGUUCUGCUUAACCACUUUGAGAAGUCUGUGGCAGAGCAUCUCAAGUGUUUGGAGGAAACAUCCAGGACCUAUCUCAACAUGUACUCACAGUUACAGGUCAUGAUGUCAGAACGACGCAAGCACAAAACUGAAAUGGAUUCAUGUGGCAUCGUGCGCGCAAAUAAAAAGAUAGCUUGCGUGAUGUCGCUAUCCACAUCGGAUGGAGAUGAGCCACAAUAUCUCGUGAUUCAGAGCAGAUAUUGAUCUGACUCCGAAUGGGUUCAGACUCGGCUGAGAACGGAACCGGAGCAGAUCUGUUCCACGUGAUUCAGACUGGAUCUGGAUACAAUUUGGACCACAGCCACACCAAAAUGACAUUUCUUUUUCUUUUUGUUUCUUCCAGUCGGAGAGGCGUCGACUGUCCGACUUUUGCGAGCAACACAAGCUGAGGUUGAGGUCCUUGGACGAAGCAGGAGUGGAGCCAGAGUCUGGCCACUGAGAUGCAAUCGACCCCUUUUGGAUCGUUUUUCUUUUUGGAUUUGACCCUUUUGUUCAGUAUGUAAAUAAAAGCAUAUCAGCAGUUG